AACGGAAGAACCUUACCAGCUCUUGACAUUUCUGUCCACUCUAGAGAUAGAACUUCCCCUUCGGGGGCAGAAUACAGGUGGGCAUGGUUGUGUCAGCUCGUGUCGUGAGAUGUUGGGUUAAGUCCCAUAACGAGCGCACCCUUUUGUUAGUUGCCGCAUUCAGUUGGGCACUCUAGCGAGACUGCCGGUGAUAAACCGGAGGAAGGUGGGGAUGACGUCAAAUCAUCAUGCCCCUUAUGGGUGGGCUACACACGUGCUACAAUGACGGUACAACGGGUUGCGAUGCCGCAAGGCGCAGCGAAUCCUACAAAGCCGUUCUCAGUUCGGAUUGUUCUCUGCAACUCGAGAGCAUGAAGCCGGAAUCGCUAGUAAUCGCGA
rnacentral:rRNA from 1 species